rnacentral:rRNA from 1 species
GACGAACGCUGGCGGCGUGCUUAACACAUGCAAGUCGAACGGAAAGGCCCUGCUUUUUUGCGGUGCUCGAGUGGCGAACGCGGGAGUAACACGUGAGUAACCUGCCCUUGACUUUGGGAUAACUUCAGGAAGCUGGGGCUAAUACCGUAUAGCAUCUCCUGUUGCAUGGUGGGGGUUGGAAAUUUUCGGCGGUUGGGGUUGGACGGGCGGCUUAUCAGCUUGUUGGUUGGGUAGUGGCUGACCAAGGCUUUGACGGGUAGCCGGCCUGAGAGGGUGACCGGCGUCAUUGGGCCUGAGAUAGGGCCCAGUGGGCAAUGGGAGGCAACAGUGGGGAAUAUUGCACAAUGAGCGGGAGCGUGAUGAGGAAGCGCCGCGUGCGGGAUGACGGCUUUUGGGGUGUAAACAGCUUUAGCCUGUGACGAAGCGUGAGUGACGGUAAUGAGUAAAGAAGCACCGGCUAACUACGUG